GAGAACUUAGCAGAGAUGCUUUGGUGCCUUCGGGAACUCUGAGACAGGUGCUGCAUGGCUGUCGUCAGCUCGUGUUGUGAAAUGUUGGGUUAAGUCCCGCAACGAGCCGCAACCCUUAUCCUUUGUUGCCAGCGGCUCGGCCGGGAACUCAAAGGAGACUGCCGGUGAUAAACCGGAGGAAGGUGGGGAUGACGUCAAGUCAUCAUGGCCCUUACGGCCAGGGCUACACACGUGCUACAAUGGCGCAUACAAAGAGAAGCGACCUCGCGAGAGCAAGCGGACCUCAUAAAGUGCGUCGUAGUCCGGAUUGGAGUCUGCAACUCGACUCCAUGAAGUCGGAAUCGCUAGUAAUCGUAGAUCAGAAUGCUACGGUGAAUACGUUCCCGGGCCUUGUACACACCGCCCGUCACACCAUGGGAGUGGGUUGCAAAAGAAGUAGGUAGCUUAACCUUCGGGAGGGCGCUUACCACUUUGUGAUUCAUGACUGGGGUGAAGUCGUAACAAGGUAAGCGUAGCGAG
rnacentral:rRNA from 1 species